UACGUAGGGCGCGAGCGUUGUCCGGAAUCAUUGGGCGUAAAGAGCUCGUAGGCGGCCUGUCGCGUCUGCUGUGAAAUCCCGGGGCUCAACCCCGGGCGUGCAGUGGAUACGGGCUGGCUGGAGGCAGGCAGGGGAGAACGGAAUUCCCGGUGUAGCGGUGAAAUGCGCAGAUACCGGGAGGAACACCGGUGGCGAAGGCGGUUCUCUGGGCCUGUACUGACGCUGAGGAGCGAAAGCGUGGGGAGCGAACAGG
rnacentral:rRNA from 1 species